CACGCCGUAAACGCUGAUUACUAGGUGUAGGGGGUAUAGACUCCCUCUGUGCCGCAGUUAACGCAUUAAGUAAUCCACCUGGGGAGUACGGCCGCAAGGUUAAAACUCAAAGGAAUUGACGGGGGCCCGCACAAGCGGCGGAGCAUGCGGAUUAAUUCGAUGCAACGCGAAGAACCUUACCUGGGUUUGACAUAUGCCGGAAGCAUUCAGAGAUGGGUGUGCCUUUUUGGUCGGUUUACAGGUGG
rnacentral:rRNA from 1 species